rnacentral:rRNA from 1 species
GUACUGAUAAAGGGUGAAAUCAAUUUUUUAGUAUACAAGGUAAUAAAAAUAUCAAUCUGAAUUGAAGCUAUCAAAAUAAAGGAAUGAACCAGGAUUAGAUACCCUGUUACACUUUAUAUAAAUUAUAAAAUUACCUGGGUAUUAAACAGCUAUUGUCUUGAAACUCAAAGGAUUUGGCGGUAACUUAGUCUAUUUAGAGGAACCUGUCCUGUAAUCGAUAGUCCACGAAAAAUCUUACUUUAUCUUGUAGAAAUCAGUUUGUAUACCGUCAUUAUUAGAUAACUUUAAUAAAAUUUAAAGUUGUUGGAAUAGUCUAGCUAAUAUAUUAGAUCAAGGUGCAGCUUAUGAUAAAGAAAGAGAUGGGUUACAUUGUAAUAAAUAUAAACGGAACAACAAAUGAAGGUUUGUUGUUGAAGGUGGAUUUAAAAGUAAUAAGAUUUUAAUAAGAUCUUCUGAGUUUAGCUCUAGGUUAUGUACACAUCGCCCGUCGCUCUCGUUAAUUAAAGC